GGCAGUCAUGCAAAGCAUGGGACAGAAGAAAUACCACGGCAGUGAACUGUGAGGAUAACUUCCAUUUUUUCCCUCGGAGAGAACAGUUUACGGGGCAGAGGUGAUAUGUUCUGCCUUUUGAAGAUUACUGGCACACGUUCAGCUUUUUCACCUCUCUAAUCGACUGGAAGCAGCCAGCCGAUCACUAGUCCUCCAUCCCCCUCGAGUCCUCC
rnacentral:lncRNA from 1 species